GGCCGUAUAGCUAAGUGGAUAUAGCGUGCCCUUCCUAAGGGCAAGGUCCAAGAUUCGACCCCUUGUACGGUCG
rfam:Volvox carteri f. nagariensis unplaced genomic scaffold VOLCAscaffold_30, whole genome shotgun sequence.